UCAUUGUAGAACUCACCAAGCUCGGCUUCCAUCCACCCAUCUUCCCUCGCCUCUGGUCUCGUUACAUCUCUCGUUUCUGUCUCUCUCCUUCGACGACGACCACGACCGCGACGAGGAGGCCCAAUAAAGUAUAUCAACUUUUGAGAAGGUUCUUGUCCAACCAAUCCAACUCCAACGUCCACCGGCGAAUCUCCCAAAUUAGGACAUCCGUUCUUUGUCUUGAACACGAUGUAAACCGAGUAAUGAGUUCUAGGAGAUAGGUAACGAGUAUGCAUCCCGUCACCAAUAUUAAACCAACACACAUUGAGUAGCUCUGCUAUUUUUUCAAACCUGCAUUGCAACAUUUUUUUGCCAUCUUCAUCAGUCAUUAUCAUUUAUCAUCAGAAAAAUUAAAUGAGCACAAACGAAUUGUAACAAGAAUAAAAGGAGUAACGUACCUAGAUUCAGGAAUUGAAAUCCAUCGCCAAUAUUGGGGAGUAUCUCCCCAUGUGAUCGACGAUUCCUUCAAAGAUAACAUGAUACAUCUUUUCCCACUCGCUUUCUCUAACCAGAAGCUCUGUCAUUGUACCAAAUAAAAAAACUUGAAACAUUCAGAAACCACACCAAAUUAAUCAACUCCGUAGGUUUAAUCACAUCCUUGUUCACAUAAUUCUCUAACAUACUGAGAAUGAUGACCGUAAACAUUUGUUAAUUUGUUCACGUCUACGUCUUAUCUAUGGAAAAAAAAGCAACGUGUAAUAGUGUUUAUUUUCGUUUAUAAUAUUAUCAUUGUAUUGGUUGUAAAUUGUCUAUUGUUGACAACAAUUGUAACUUUGGAUUCAGUUUACAUGUUAAAAAAAAAGUCAACGGUUUCGAUACACAUAUUACUCUCGACUAUAUCUAAAAUCUGACUGAAUCACAGAUCCUUAUUCUCAUACCAUUCUAACAUCUAAUUUUGAGCCCAAGGCAGAUCAUUAUUCUCAGUUAAUACCUUUUUGCCGUCCUCGAUGAGAACAGGAUCAUCGCAGAGAGCGAAAUAGAGCUCCUUCUUGGACAAGAAAACUCGCGAGUACUGUGGAAUCAGAGAGGAAUAUUCCGAAGGGAGAAACUUCUCCCACACGGUAUCGGAUUUAACAGCCGACUCAAACGUUUUCGAAACAGAAGCAGCGACGCAAGCGUCUCGUGGACUCGUGAAGGAGAUAAUGGUGGAGAUGCAAUCCACCGGCAAUGAAUCGAACGGUGACGGCAUCGUUGCAUGCAUCAAAUCGCCUGCGUCUGGAAUCUUGAGAGACAGAUAGCCCUUAAGACUUCUUUUGUAAUAAAUAAAUAUAGACUUCUUGAGAUCGUUCUAAAGUCGCUUCUGUGAUGAAGUGGUGAAAGAAAGAAUGAUUUAUAAUGAAAAACAAAAGACUCGUGGUAUCCGUGUCUUACAUGUUUACGAAGCUUCCCUUCUUGCCGUGUGCAUCGCAUCUCUCUCUCCUCAACACUACGCGUUUUCAAUUAAUUCAUUACUAACUGUGGUUGUAAGCCCAUGAUCUAAUAAAUAUUUCCUCACAUGGUCGAAUCACAAAAUUAAUGUCUACGAAAUUAUAUGUGUAGCUGAUUCAAAUAAUACACUUUCACCCUAUAGAAACUUACACACAUCUCGACCAGUUGGCUUGGCUCAUGGGCCUAAGAGAUGGGAUGUCUCACAUGAUAGAGGGUAUCCAACGAGACACUUCAUCUAGAACUAUCUGGACUUAAAAUCUGGAAUACCUGAAUUAUUAAAAUAAAUACACUCUCUUGUUGAACUGGGUACACGUGAGAGUUGCAUAAACAUCAAAAGAAAGAAAAAUUUAAAACAUUAGUUACAAUCAAAUUAAAAACCAUUAAAACAGUCUCUGUUACAAUAUGUUUUUGGUUUGAUACAUAAACAUAUAACACCGGACUCACUAGACUCUGUUACAAUAUGUUUUUGGUUUGAUACAUUAAAACAGACUCUGUUACAAUAUGUUUUUGGUUCUUACUUCACCAUACCUUUUUCACAGGCCGGAACUCAAUGCCCUGAAUGAUGAAGCCAGGCGUCCAAUAACUGUACUUGAUUUCACUAAUACGAAACCAGAUUUCAUCGCGAUCAUCCAUGAACCCUCCAUCGUUUAAGAAUUCUCCAAACUUUGCCUCCACCCACCCAUCUUCCCUCUUCUCUAGCUUCGUUAGCUCCAGCCUUUCCCACUUUGCACCUUCGGGAGUUUCAUGUACAAUCACUCCAACUCCAAAGCUUUUUUAGACAUCUUGAAUUUGAUCCUUUGCCUUGUAGACUACGUAAGCGGCGUACUGAGUAUCAGGAGAGAGGAAUUUAGGUUUCAGCACACCAUAGAUCUUGAAAGGAAUCCCAGUUGCAAGUUGUGGGACUUCUUCAAACCUUUAUAACACAUUGCAUUCAACAUUAUCAGAACGAGUUAAAGUUUUCAUGAGUUUUUAACUCAAGACUAAUUGAUACUGUAUGUAUUAGUAUAUAAAAGGUUACAAAAUACUCUUAUGCAAGUGACUCAAUAUAAAAAGGUGUAACUGAAUUAUUCACAUAAUUUUGAUGAAUAUUUGUUUACAAGAUUGAUACAAUAUAUAUUAACACUUAAAUCAUGUAUUCAAAUUAUUUUAUCUAAAUAAUUUUAAAUAAAUAAUACUAGAGCAACAGUGUUAAAAACAAAUACCAAAUCUCCUAUAUAUUGAUUGAAAAGCAUUUUGAGGGAGUAGUGAUGAUGUAUCGUCACCACAAUGUAUUCACAAAUAUAGCUGAUUUGACAUCUCAAAAAUAAUUUUCAUAAAAAGCUAAGCUUAUAUGUUGUCACCAUAUACAUUCUCACAAAAACAUUAAAUAACGUUUUCAUAUAAUUAAUUACAAUAAAUCACAUCAACUUCAUAUUUUUGACAUUUCCUUAGCCAUAAGCAAAUGUAGCAUAUUUAUAAAACUAUAUUCAGUUUAAAAAUGGGUAGGAGUCACUACAAUUGCCCAUGAUUUCAUUUCAUAAUUAUUAUUGUUUGAGACGUAACCAAACAUGAUUAUAAUAAUUUUGAAAUGUAUGAAUAAGUAUUCGUAGUAAUCCUUUGGAAAAAAAAUAUGAAAUACCCAUGCCUACAUAUAGUUUAUGUUAACUACAUUGACAUUUUAACCAUUAUAUAAUCAUAAUUAUAUAUUUAAUUUGAAUGUAUAUUACCUUUUACUUAUAAUUUAUAUAACUUAUAACUUAAUGAAAAUUUCAUAAUAAGAAGAAAUAAUUUGUUUCUUAGUAAUCAUUUUGAAAAGUUCAUUUUACACGUUACAAACAAUAGAAAAAAUCAUCUAAACCAUAAACCAAAGUCAAAUUGAUUUAGUCUAAACCAAAUUCAUAUAUUCAUAAUUUCCAUUCCUUAAAUAAGUGUAGAAAAAAUAUUUAGUUUCAAAAUUACAUGAUUUUAAGUUUGUGUGGGAAGUUUAUAUAAAUUUCAAUACCUUAUUUGAGCCGAGGGUAAGUUCUUUACUUUAAAUUUUGCAUCUUUUGUAUAAUGAUUCAAAGUUCAAACUUUACAAUUUUAUAUUAUAUUCUCUCUGUUUCGAGUUAAUUGUCAUUGUAGGAGAAAAAAUAUCGUUUCAAAAUAAAUGUCAUUUAGAGUUUCAAUAUAAAAUUUAUUAAUAAGAUUAUUCACUUUAUUUUUCUAUUGGUUGAAAUAUAGUUAGGUCUAUAAAUAAUUAUGUUUUUUAUUUUGGAAAUAUAUAAAAUCACAUGUUUUCUUAAUAUGUAUGGAUAAACCUAUAACAACGAUGAAAACGAAACAGAUGAAGUAUUUAUUUAAAUAUUUUAUUCUGCACAAGGCUGAAUAAUAUCCUUUAAGCCAGACGCUGACAAACACAUAGCUCUUUUAAUAUUUGAAAGAUUACUCAUUUCUGAUAGCUAAUAUUUGGUUAAAAAACUAUUCUUUUGAUUUUCAUUGUCAAAGUACUAUUAGAAAAAAAUUACUUAAACAGAAGCACCGUGACAAUGCUAUACAGAAACAUUCUGAGAAUGAUCAAAUCAUAAACUGGAAAUUUGUUCAGGUGAGAAUGAUCAAUACAAACAUUACAAUUCCAAAACCUGAAGAUUCGAAAACAUUACAAUACAACAAAGAUUUUCACUUGCUUACACAUGAAACUGAACCAUAAAACCGGAAGAUCACGGAACCAGACAUCGGUCUUAUUCCAUCACAAAAACAUGAUAUAACAAUUUACCUGAUUUUGGCAGGGCGGAAUUCAAUUCCUUGAACGAUCAAACCACUUUUCCAGUGAGGAGUGUUGGUCUUAAUAAUACUAAACGAAAUAUCAUCACAACAUGAAUCAUUGUAGAACUCACCAAGCUCGGCUUCCAUCCACCCAUCUUCCCUCGCCUCUGGUCUCGUUACAUCUCUCGUUUCUGUCUCUCUCCUUCGACGACGACCACGACCGCGACGAGGAGGCCCAAUAAAGUAUAUCAACUUUUGAGAAGGUUCUUGUCCAACCAAUCCAACUCCAACGUCCACCGGCGAAUCUCCCAAAUUAGGACAUCCGUUCUUUGUCUUGAACACGAUGUAAACCGAGUAAUGAGUUCUAGGAGAUAGGUAACGAGUAUGCAUCCCGUCACCAAUAUUAAACCAACACACAUUGAGUAGCUCUGCUAUUUUUUCAAACC
rnacentral:lncRNA from 1 species